rnacentral:sRNA from 1 species
ACAAACAUCACAACGAUUGAUACAGUUAUCGUUACCAAUAGACUACCACAUUGAAAAGUAUCCCGGUCAGAUGUCAAUCGUCGCAAAAAGGAUCAGUUUCUGCAACCAAGGAUGGCGGCAUUGUCCAGCCGGUUGAAACUCGUAAACCAUUUCCUUCACCCUUCGUGUCCAGUUAAGAAAUUUAGCUGCCCCAGAUACUACUAAAUGCUUUCUUAUGCACAAUAAUUCUCUGAUCUAUAGCCUGUAUAAAUACACGGGAACAUUGCUUGUACAAUUUCGCAAUUUGAACAGAUGAAAAAAAAAAAAGAACUCUCGAAUCAGUAACUGCCUUCGAAUGGCAAUUGAUCAUUGGGCCUGGGGGUCUGCACCCAUAGCACCAAACCUUGCUCCAGCGCCAAGCCCAGCAUUGGGUGGCCUUGCCACAACAACAUUGUCAUCAGCAAAUAGCGCCUUGAUGAACGAAGGAGUCUUCAGGGGACGCCUCCCAGUCAUCCGCGGGUAUACAUCUUCCAGGAAGUAGUACACAUGCCCAGCAAUCAUACCCUGAAAGAAACAAUAUUUGUCAAUUACAGAUAUGGAAACUAAAAAUACUUACCCAAGGUAAAUAAGCAGCAGUAAAGGUGAACAAACCCAAGAAGCUCAUAUGAAUGAAGGGAUUGUGCUUGCUCCAUACAUAAACCAUCAUAAAUGUCAAUGAAUUGCUCAAGAACAGGAUUCUGGCAAAUGUCUCAGAAAUAUAAGGUAUCAUCCCACCAAUCAGAACAAUGCCAGUCAGGACAGUAGCGCCAAACAAGAGCAUGUAGAAAAAGUCAGCAGUUCUUCCUCU